AAAUAGCAAAUCUGAGGACGGAGUUAAUAAAAAAUCUAAGGAAGACACUCCUAAAAGUUCUAGCAGUAAAUCCAUUGUUGCUACUAAAAUACUGAACUUCACACCAUUUAGAGAGACCACACCAAAGGUUGUAAUCUAACAAAGGUUGGUGUCUUUUACUUUCCAAGGCUAUAUUAUAGCAGAAGUUGAGCCAUUACAUCUUUAAAUUGUUAUUGCUAUGCUAUGUUUUCUUUAUUUAUUUAUAUUAUGAAUAUGAAGUUAUUAACAAGUGAAUUGUGAUAAGGUUUGUGGUUCCUAAGUACAUGGGUUGUGCAAGUGAUAUGUAUAGCUUUUCCAAAUUUGAUUGGAAAAGAAACAGAGGGUUUUCAUGGACAUGUAAUUACUUGAAAUCUGCUGUUAAGACUAAAUUCUAUUUUAUUAAGAAGAAAUAAUUGUGAUGAAACUCUUAUUUGAGAAUCUACCAGGUAAAGUAGAAAUUAGAUUGUAUCACUUUUGUGGAUCCUAAAUUGUCAUCCGUGGUCUGUCUAAUUUCUAGAAAGUGGACGAAAUUCUUGAACUUGUGAAGUCAACAUGGAG
rnacentral:sRNA from 1 species